GUGGGGAAUUUUGGACAAUGGGCGCAAGCCUGAUCCAGCCAUUCCGCGUGCAGGAUGAAGGCCUUCGGGUUGUAAACUGCUUUUGUACGGAACGAAAAGCCUCUGGUUAAUACCCGGGGGUCAUGACGGUACCGUAAGAAUAAGCACCGGCUAACUACGUGCCAGCAGCCGCGGUAAUACGUAGGGUGCGAGCGUUAAUCGGAAUUACUGGGCGUAAAGCGUGCGCAGGCGGUGAUGUAAGACAGUUGUGAAAUCCCCGGGCUCAACCUGGGAACUGCAUCUGUGACUGCAUUGCUGGAGUGCGGCAGAGGGGGAUGGAAUUCCGCGUGUAGCAGUGAAAUGCGUAGAUAUGCGGAGGAACACCGAUGGCGAAGGCAAUCCCCUGGGCCUGCACUGACGCUCAUGCACGAAAGCGUGUGGAGCAAACAGGAUUAGAAACCCGGGUAGUCC
rnacentral:rRNA from 1 species